rnacentral:lncRNA from 1 species
UGAAGAAGAUGUGUAUGGAUUCUAUGCUUCUUUGUACCUCGGCACUUCAGCUGGCAGGUCCCUCACUCUGGUUCUGCUUUCCAGGGGUAUUGCCUAUAGGAGAUUAAAACUUGCCUCCAGAGUCUCACUGGAAUUCUUGAACCCAAUGUUUCUUCUCUUGCUUUGUUACUGUUUCUUGUUCCUGUCAACUCUCAUUGUGAAUGCAUUAAACAGAAAGUUGCUCUCAAAUUCUGAAACUCCUUGUACAAUUAGCAUAGAGACAUGAUUUUAUUCAUGCAAUUACAUUUCUACAGGUCCAAAAUCUCCAUAGUGCCAUAUGGUCUGGUAUACCAAACAUUUAAUGUAAAACACUAUCCCCUGAUAUCCAGCCUUCCGGUUUCUUUCUAAGCAGUAUGAUAGCAUUCUCAGUAUUUCAAAAAGACUUCUGCUUCAGAGGCUGUUUUCUGAAGUUGCAUGAAAUUUUGUGUCUUUGAUAUCUCCCUCCUUGCUUCUUGUAUAAACACUUUAAUGCUAACUCAACUGUUCUUUCCGUAAAGCUUUCCAGCCUAAGAAAGUACAGUGGAUAUCCCUAAGGUAUCCAGGGUUUUUUCAAGACAUCUGUUGUUUUAUUUUCCUUCAGAGAGCCUUUGGCUGUAGUUAGAGAUGUGGGACAGUUAAACACUUUGCAUAAGUACAUGCAAAUACUUCCUGUCAUAAAAUCAAGAAAGAUGUUCUAAACCCUGGAAACAUUACCCAAAUGAUCAUGACAUUAGCAAUUAAUAAUUGUAUGUUCCAUGCAAAAAUACUUAAAAACCUCUAAACUACACUGGACAGCUGAUAUGACAGAAUUGUUGCAUAAAAACAAAAGCCAAACAGAUAGACACUUCUGUACUUUUGUAUUGUCUCAACUACAAUGUCCAGACUAUGGAAUCUGAUUCACUGAAAUUUGAUAGACUAUUCUGGUUUAUGAUUUGUGAAAAGCGUGCUUGUACCCUUUCCCUCCCCAUUUGCUGCAUACUUUUCAAUUUUACAAUCCUUUCUUUGUUUUUGCAAAUGUCAUUUGUCAGUGUGUUCACCAGACUUGGAGUAGACUGAAUGAUAUUAAGCAGCAUCACUUAGAGCUGAAAGUGUUCUCUGGCUUUAAUAUGCCUGGUGGUUAGUGAAUAUGUAACACCUACCUCACACCACUGGGUGGGCUGCUUCUUGUGCCAUUGCUGCUCAGUCAGUCAACCUGCAGAGAGUAAUCAAGGCUGAAGUGGCAGUGGAAAAGAUCUUGCCUGUGGAAGGAAAGGAAGGAAGUGAAGAUUCUUCCCUUCCCACCUCUGCAAUGAGAGAUGGCAAUCCUUCCUAGAUAUGGCAGGCUGGAAGAUAUUGGAUCAUAAAAUCAUGACACUGGAAAGCAAUCCAGCGCUGUCUUCCAGUUAAUAACCACACUUGUGUUUACAAGACAACUGCUUUUACAAAACUGAAGAUCAUCAGAUGGGAACACUAACAACUUCAAUUUUAAAGUCCACUUCUGACCUAACAAGAAGCGUGGGAUACUUCAUUACAGAGGAUAUUCUACUGAAAUAUGAAACACACAUGAAAUCAUGAGCACUUAAGGAAAGUGCUCUUGUGGCCACAGCUAUCAUAUGAUAUUAAAACUGCAGCAUGACAGUAGUUGUUGUAAAUAAAUACAUAUUACAAUAAGUAAAAAAAAUGCAAUUACAAUUUCACAAUAUUUAUUUCUGUGAUCAAAUUUACAUACGAACUGCAAAGUAUGAGAAAUAUGAACCUUUGCAUAUACUCCCACAGACUGUGUAGAUAUAUCCACACAUUUAUGUGUACAGAUAUUAUAUUAAAAGACUGUUACACUUAUAAAAUAUUUUAGAGAAUAAUUUAUGUGGACAGGUUUAGAUAUUCAUUCUUACUCAGAAUGAUAAGCAAGCAGGCUGAAUAUAUUUGAAAAUGUAGUAAAUCAAGUUUUGGUCUUGCUAACACUAAUACACAUUCAUUUAGAUAAAUCUGAUGAGAAUUUUACCCAACCAAUAUAUCUUUAAAAGCUAAUCAAGUGAAUCUCUUUAAUAGCAUCAAGCCUCAUUUGGAAAGUUCACAAUCCAUAAUUAGCUGCUUCUUUGAAAAUGUUUGCUAAAAUUGUAGUUUUGGAACAGAUUACAGUUCAAAUCUUACAUGUGCAUGAAAUAAUUCAUUUGCCCAAACACCCCAAUUUUAGACAUUACUUGCAAAUGAAAAUUACAUCCCACAUGAUUUUAGUAUUAGCUUUUAUAUGAGCACUAAAUAUAAAAUGGUAGUCUGACCUUUAAGAAAAACUGUAUCUAAUAACAAAAUUAAAGAACAGGUUUAAAGAUUUGGUCACUAGUCUUUAUAAAAGGGAAAAAAGAAAACAAAAUCCCUUGCAGUCACAUUCUAUCAUUCUCUUUCAACUAUUCUUUUAGGUUUCUUUCCACUAUAUUUAAUUUUAUUUCAUUAUAUGCAGGAAGGCUAAUAACCAACCAUUUUGAUUCUGUUCAUUUAUUUUCCCCCAUUUAGACCAUUUUUCUUACCCUGAUUCAUUUUGUAACCAAAUUCAUUUUAAUUUAAUUUGUUUCAUUAAAGCUAAGGUUUUCCAAUUUUUGAAAUGUAAGAGAGACUAAACAGAGUUACUUUAUCUUGCUAGGUCCAAAGGUCUUGCAGAAUACUCAGAUUUCAAUAGUAGUAUGUAAAUAGCAUGUAUUUUUUUUCUCUUGUGGAAAAAGGUGAAUUGGAUUAUUCCAUCAAAUUUUACAUUUUCUAACAAUACUGAUCUUUUCAAAAUCCUGUUUCCGUAAGUGUCAUUUUCCCCUAUGCUCCAGAGAACUGUCAAAAAAUUAUGGGAAACAAAACCAAAACACUUCUUUCACCAGAAAAUUUUCAUAAAGAAAAUAUCAGAAUGAGAUUGAAGUUCUGAAUCAACAUAUUUCAGGGUUUUACUUAUUUUCUUCUUAUUUGGAUGUGAGUAAUGACGUAGAGAUAGAGAAUUUAUUAUUCUGUCUUACCUGGACAAGUUGUCCCUUGAGUAUUUUUUUAUGUUGUCUAUGUUAUAUGACACAUUAAUAUUUCACUACAUCGCCAUCUUCAUUCUUCUCGGAAGCUCAGAGGAAGAGAAAAGAAGCACUCUCAUUUCUCUUCUCCUUUUCUGCAGACAUUUCUGCAGAUAUAGGCUUGAUAUUUUAGCAACGAGGACCUUAACUUUGCUUCUGAUGACUGCUGGCAAAAGACCCUAGAUAAACAUGCAUAAUAGUCAGCCAGACAGAAAAAUAACCACUGUGGGCAACAAAAUAAUAGGCGGAACAAAAAAAGGAUUGGGGUUAGCCAUAGCUCUGGUCAUCUGCCUGCUACAUGCAUUGGUAUCUUAAAUGCCCAAAAAAGGUGGUGUCAAAAUUUUAAUUUAGAUUAAGAACAUGACUUAGUAAGUGUAACAGAUUUAGAGAAAUGAUUCACAUGAAAAGGAUGUAACAUCGAAUGCUGCAAACUAUUGGGGAAGGAUAGUGUUAAAAGAGAGAAGUUAUUCCCCACUGUAUCAAGGAUGUGAUUUCAUUCUGAAGUCCAGUGUGCAGAGGAAUUUAGAAGUGAAGAAAGCCUGAGUAAUAACAAAAAGAAGGCACUAAUACAGCUGGCAAUGUGCUGGGGAUCUACUAUAAACCUUGGAACAGGAAUUAGCUGAAUAAGGCUUACUGGUUCUUUCCAACACAGCAUAGUAGUGUUAAUUAAGAAACUGCAUCUUUGGGUUGUGUAACUACAGAACCAGUCUCAAGAUAAAUAGAUACCUUAUUUAUUUAGCUCUCUAUGUUGUUAAAUUAUUUAAUGAACCUUAUUAUUGGUGUUAGAUGAAUAUGAAUUAAUAUACAUUGUAUUCUUGUGACUUUAUAAAUGUGGCAUAUGUUCAAAGCAUGUUCAAUCUAAAGCAUUGCUUCUUUUAGGGCAGCAGACCCCAGUAUGUGGAUGACUGACUUACAUUUAUUUACUAAAUCUACUAGAUAGGGAUUUUUCUUGCCUUAAUACUGAAGUACACAACUCCCAUUUCCCUGACAAACAGUCUCUGAUACUUCAAAAACCUUAGGACUGCCUGACUCAUUCUCUUCUUGUUAAAAGAGACUUAACUACAGAGGCAUCUGCCAGAAGACAAAAUAAGGAAUAGAAUCUAUCUAGCAAGUUCUUGUUACUCAUCAGUGGCAACUUGAUAUUAAAAAACAAACAAACAAAAACAAAAGAAAAAACAGAGAAAAACAAUCUAGUUGAAAAGAGCUGGUUUAGGACAUGAAGGUGAGGGCAAGACAGACAGAGGUGAGACCCUUGGAUAGGAGAUAAAAAAAUAAUAGAACAGCAGAUAUCAUCAAGGAACAUCCAGAGAAUGCAAAUGAAAAUAAUCUCCUUCAAAGAUAAAAGAUAUGGAACAAAUGGUCAUACUGUUGAAUAGAUUACAAAACUGAACAAGCAUCAAGAAGGUGAUGCUAUAAUAAACAAACAAAUAAAUAAGGAGUACUGUCUGUGGAAAACAUAAAAUAAUGCGUAGGGUUUACUACAGAAGAUUCUAAGACAUUGGUCAGUCAUAUAUAAGAAUACCGUGUUCAGCCUGGGGAAUCCCAGUUUGGGAGAGGCAUAGAUUGAAGAGAAAAAUAAGAGGAGGAAUAGAGGAAUAAGAAUGAAGACAUGCAGAAAAAGUGUAAUCUCAGAUGAGAGACCAAAAAAACCAAUAAAAAUAAACUUGAUCUAACUUGAUCUACAUAGGAAUAGACUGAAGGGAAUCAGGAAAAGCCAUCAUAACAGCUUUCAUCAUAAAAACUCCUCCAAAGAAAAAGUGUUACCUGUGGCCUUCCUGAAUGGUCCUUUAGAGAUAUGAGCUUUUCCAUGUCUAUGACAGAUAUAACAGGAUUAAAGUAUAGCAAAGGUAAUUCAGAUUACAUAAAUAAAAAGUCAUCAUAGCAGUAAAACCCUUGCAUUCAUUUCUUGGAAAUAUCAUAACAAUGCUAGAGGAAUACACCUGAAAUGAAAGAGAUAUAUUUGGUCUGAUUUUGGUAUAGAGAAUGAAUAAUGGUACUGUUUAAGCUAUUCUAAGAUUUCUAUGUCUGUGAUUUUUCUGGAUUGAUUAAGG